rnacentral:siRNA from 1 species
AAGUAAGCCUCCUUUUCAUCAGU